rnacentral:misc_RNA from 1 species
CCCUAGCCCCGAUUGCAGCUUUGUUUGAGCUCUUUUUUUUAGUUUUAGGCUGCGGCGGCUUCGCCGCCGCAGCCUAAAACUAAAAAAAUAGCGAGUGCGGAAAGCGGGAAUAGCU